UACGUAAGGACGUCAAGGCGCGCGGUGGCGUGCACGGUAGUAUUUGUGGCUGGUGACUCGGGUUCUCAGUCCUUGUGUUCCCCUCGUGGGUCCUUUCAGCAUCCGCUACCAUCGAAGACUCCAGGCGGGUUAGGAGGGAGUCAUGGGGCCGGCCGGGCCCUCCCCACGCGUGCUGCUCCCUCGUGAGGACACUGGAGAAGACUAGUGCGCUGCGGGGCGACUUGGGCCUUGCUUCUGAGAGUCUUCGCUCAGAAGAGAAACAGGGUUUCUUCUGCGCGACCUGAAGGGCACCGCUAAGCGGAAUGGAACCUGUGACCUCUAGGGAUCCCAUUAGGGAUGGAGCCUAUGAUCUCCAAGCCCACCUCUGGGUUGGGAUCUAUGACCUCGUAGAGACCUGCUACAAAAGGCGGGAGACGUGAUCAGAUGAACGAUCCCACAAAGUGGGAGGGCUUACAGUCACAACAGCUCUUAAGGAAGAUGUCCUGGAGUGAUCCCAGAGUGCUCGAGCUAGAAUCCUUUCUGUGGCUACUAGGCUAGUCUGUGGCACCUGUGUAGUAUUGCAUGGAUACUGAGAAGUAAUGACACCUCGUGAGAAAUGGAGCAGAAUUUGUACCUUAAUUGAGCAGAUAUGAAUCCUCGCUUCUAAAAGGAAUCAGCAGUAUCUUGUUCUUGGUCUGGGUUGUGUGUCUGAGGGAACUUUCUCUGACCCCAAGUUUGGGCUUUUUUUUUUCUUUUCUUUUUUUUCUCUUUUUUUUUU